AUACGGAGGGUGCAAGCGUUAUCCGGAAUCAUUGGGUUUAAAGGGUCCGCAGGCGGAUUAAUAAGUCAGUGGUGAAAUCCUCUCGCUCAACGAGAGAACUGCCAUUGAAACUGUUAGUCUUGAAUUCGGUCGAAGUAGGCGGAAUGUGUCAUGUAGCGGUGAAAUGCAUAGAUAUGACACAGAACGCCGAUAGCGAAGGCAGCUUACUAGACCUGGAUUGACGCUCAUGGACGAAAGCGUGGGGAGCGAACAGGAUUAGAUACCCUAGUAGUCC
rnacentral:rRNA from 1 species